GACGAACCGUGCAAACGUUGUUCGGAAUCACUGGGCUUAAAGGGCGCGUAGGCGGGUGGUCAAGUCAGGGGUGAAAUCUUUCGGCUCAACCGGAAAAUUGCCUUUGAUACUGGCCGUCUUGAGCGAGGUAGGGGCAUGUGGAACUUCCGGUGGAGCGGUGAAAUGCGUUGAUAUCGGAAGGAACGCCGGUGGCGAAAGCGACGUGCUGGACCUCUUCUGACGCUGAGGCGCGAAAGCUAGGGGAGCGAACGGG
rnacentral:rRNA from 1 species